UCCAUUUACUACCUAGAUACAUGCUCAUCUAAUAAUAAUAAUAAUGAUAAUAAUAAUAAUAAUAAUAAUAAUACCUAGAUACAUGCUCAUCUAAACUUUUAUAAUUUUGGCCAUGGCUACCAUUUGAGCCAUGGUAACAAAACAAAAGAUAAUGAAACGAAAACUUACUUGAUUUUUCUCAAUCCUUUUUCUUAUUGACCGCGACACGACUUCUUCCUCUUUUCCUCACAAAUCAAGAGUACACUAACAAUGAUGACAUACAUUAUAGUUAGUCAUCUCAUGGAAUUAAAAUUGAAAAACUUAUAUAUCAAUUAUGAUUUUAAAGUAAUGUGACCUAUAUAUAUGUUCCAUUUUUCAUUUUCCAUCUUCAACAGUAAAACUUCGAUGGAUGCCAAACCCCCCCAACUUUAAAAAAUUGACCAAAUGAGUGAAUAAUUUCAAAAGUAAAGUUUUUUUAUCCACCACAUAAGUCAUCCACUUUUUGUGCUACCAAUUUAUUUAACACUCAAUUCUUGCUACGAGAUGAUAAGAUUGUCCCCAUAAACACUAAAGUCAAAACCAUCAAACACAUAGCAGCAGAAUGACAUGAAUAAAGGGAAAGGAUCAUACAUAUGACUGUCACUCAAAAAAGCAUUACCAUGAAUAAAAAAAACAUUAUCUUAUAGUAUAAAAAUGAAUCAUGACCAUCCAUAAUCAAAGGCCAAAAUCUACGAAAUGAAAUGAAGAAAGAAAAAACAAAAAUAAGAAAAGGAAAGGAAAGAAAAUGCAUGUACAGCAGCUGGAAAUUGAUCAAAGUAAGCAACAUAUAAUUCAAUCUAUACAUCCAACCAAAGCACGAAUGAUGCAUAAAUCCUAACUAAGAGUAUAAAAAACUAAUCAAAUUAAUGAAUAAUGCAUAAAUCGUAACUAAUCUAUAAAACCAAUCAAUUUUUAAGGUAAGGGAUUAAUCAAGUUAAAGUACCUCCUGGACUGGACCGAACCCCUCCUUUGCGGCGAGUCUCUGGCGGAAUUCGGCGACGGCGUCAGGUCUCUGGCAGGAUUCGGCAGUCACGGAGGCUCUUCACGGCUGCAAGGCUUGGCGUUGGUUCACCUCUCACGGCGGCGGCAGCGAAGGCUGAGGAAAUUGAUAGAUCGACAACAGGGAGGCGCCGGUUGGAGCAAAAUCGAAGGGAGGCUGAGGACCAAGGGACGACCCGAUUUUCGGAGAUUGGGAAUCGAAGGGAGCGGUUGGAGCAAAAUCGAAGGGAGGCGCUGCUUUUGUGAAAUUCUGGUGGGAUUCCUGUCGACGAAAAUCGGAGGGAGGAAACCGUUCGGAGCUUCAGCGGGAACCAAUCGAAGGCGGCAGCAUUCCGGCGAACUCCAACAGUGGUGCAGCACGUCGGAUUUUCGGAAGAGGCGCUGGAGUUGAUUUUAGAGAGUUUAAGGAGCGGGAGUU
rnacentral:lncRNA from 1 species